rnacentral:rRNA from 1 species
AAAGAAGAACACGUAUGAGAGUAACUGUUCAUACGUUGACGGUAUUUAACCAGAAAGUCACGGCUAACUACGUGCCAGCAGCCGCGGUAAUACGUAGGUGGCAAGCGUUAUCUGGAUUAUUGGCGUAAGAGAGUGCAGGCGGUUUUCUUAAGUCUGAUGUGAAAGACCUUCGGCUUAACCGGAGAAGUAGCAUCGGAAACUAGGAUAACUUGAGUGCAGAAGAGGGUAGUGGAACUCCAUGUGUAGCGGUGGAAUGCGUAGAUAUAUGGAAGGAACACCAGUGGCGAAGGCGGCUACCUGGUCUGCAACUGACGCUGAGACUCGAAAGCAUGGGUAGCGAACAGGAUUAGAUACCCUGGUAG